GAUCAUGGCUCAGGAUGAACGCUGGCGGCGUGCUUAACACAUUCAAGUCGAACGGACGACUCGGAGCUUGCUCCGGGAAGUUAGUGGCGGACGGGUGAGUAACGCGUGAGCAACCUACCUGUGUGAGUGGAAUAACGUCCGGAAACAGACGCUAAUACCGCAUGACUCACGGACUUCGCAUGGAGACCGUGGCAAAGAUUUAUCGCACACAGAUGGGCUCGCGUCCGAUUAGGCAG
rnacentral:rRNA from 1 species